rnacentral:rRNA from 1 species
CCUACGGGAGGCAGCAGUAGGGAAUCUUUCACAAUGGGCGAAAGCCUGAUGGAGCAACGCCGCGUGCAGGAUGAAGGCCUUCGGGUUGUAAACUGCUUUUAUAAGCGAGAAAUAUGAUGGUAACUUAUGAAUAAGGAUCGGCUAAAUACGUGCCAGAGGCCGCGGUCAUACGUAGGAUCCGAGCAUUAUCCGGAGUGACGGGGUGUAAAAAGUUGCGUAGGUGGUAUAAUAAAUAGAUAGUGAACUCUGGUGGCUCAACCAUUCAGACUAUAUGCUAAACUGUUAAGCUCGAGAGGGUUAGGGGUAGCUGGAAUUUCUGGUGUAGGGGUGAAAUCCGUAGAUAUUAGAAGGAACACCAAUAGCGAAGGCAGGUUACUGGGACAGUUCUGACGCUAAGGCACGAAAGCGUAGGGAGCAAACGGGAUUAGAUACCCGUGUAGUC